GGGGAGUGACGUCAAAUCAUCAUGCCCUUUAUGUCCUGGGCUACACACGUGCUACAAUGGUCGGUACAACGAGAAGCAAGCCAGCGAUGGCAAGCAAAUCUCUAAAAGCCGAUCCCAGUUCGGAUUGCAGGCUGCAACUCGCCUGCAUGAAGUCGGAGUUGCUAGUAAUCGCGGAUCAGAAUGCCGCGGUGAAUGCGUUCCCGGGUCUU
rnacentral:rRNA from 1 species